rnacentral:rRNA from 1 species
CACGUAGGGCGCGAGCGUUGUCCGGAAUUAUUGGGCGUAAAGAGCUCGUAGGCGGCCUGUUGCGUCCGCUGUGAAAGCCCGGGGCUUAACCCCGGGUCUGCAGUGGAUACGGGCAGGCUAGAGGUAGGCAGGGGAGAAUGGAAUUCCCGGUGUAGCGGUGAAAUGCGCAGAUAUCGGGAGGAACACCGGUGGCGAAGGCGGUUCUCUGGGCCUUACCUGACGCGGAGGAGCGAAAGCGUGGGGAGCGAACAGG